rnacentral:rRNA from 1 species
UACGUAGGGACCAAGCGUUGUUCGGAUUUACUGGGCGUAAAGGGCGCGUAGGCGGCAUUGUUAGUCACUUGUGAAAUCUCCGGGCUUAACUCGGAACGGCCAAGUGAUACUGCAGUGCUAGAGUGCGGAAGGGGCAAUCGGAAUUCUCGGUGUAGCGGUGAAAUGCGUAGAUAUCGAGAGGAACACCUGAGGUGAAGACGGGUUGCUGGGCCGACACUGACGCUGAGGCGCGAAAGCCAGGGGAGCAAACGGG